rnacentral:rRNA from 1 species
UACAGAGGCCUCGAGCGUUAGGCGGAAUCACUGGGCUUAAAGGGUGCGUAGGCGGCGAUAAAAGUUGGGUGUGAAAUCCCUCGGCUCAACCGAGGAACUGCGCCCAAAGCUGUAUUGCUCGAGGGAGAUAGAGGUGAGCGGAACUUAGGGUGGAGCGGUGAAAUGCGUUGAUAUCCUAAGGAACGCCAGGGGCGAAAGCGGCUCACUGGAUCUCUUCUGACGCUGAGGCACGAAAGCUAGGGUAGCGAACGGG